rnacentral:misc_RNA from 1 species
GAUGAAGAACGCAGCGAAAUGCGAUAAGUAGUGUGAAUUGCAGAAUUCAGUGAAUCAUCGAAUCUUUGAACGCACAUUGCGCCCCUUGGUAUCCCGAGGGGCAUGCCUGUUCAAGCGUCAUUUCACCACUCAAGCCUGGCUUGGUGUUGGGCGACGUCCCCUUUGGGGACGCGCCUCGAAACGCUCGGCGGCGUGGCACCGGCUUUAAGCGUAGCAGAAUCUUUCGCUUUGGAAGUCGGGGCCCCGUCUGCCGGAAGACCUACUCGCAAGGUUGACCUCGGAUCAGGCAGGGAUACCCGCUGAACUUAAGCAUAUCAAUAAGCGGAGGA